rnacentral:rRNA from 1 species
GACAGAGAUGGGCAAGCGUUGUCCGGAUUUAUUGGGCGUAAAGAGCGUGUAGGCGGCCAGAUAGGUCUGUUGUGAAAACUCGAGGCUCAACCUCGAGACGCCGAUGGAAACCAUCUGGCUAGAGUCCGGAAGAGGAGAGUGGAAUUCCUGGUGUAGCGGUGAAAUGCGCAGAUAUCAGGAAGAACACCCGUGGCUAAGGCGGCUCUCUAGUACGGUACUGACGCUGAGACGCGAAAGCGUGGGGAGCGAACAGG